rnacentral:lncRNA from 1 species
AGUGACAAAAUGUUAAAAUUGAAUUAAACUCACUCUCACUUACUCAUCUUUAUAGUACUUGAUUUGCGCACUGUUUCCAUAGGUAGGGGUCAUCCCAUAGGAUAGUACAUGGCAUCAAUCUUAAAUUUAUCUUUUUUGGCCUUUAACCAACAUGCAGGCAAUUGAUUAGUGACCAAGUAGUUAACAAUAUCAGCAUACUAAGGAAGAGAGGAAUUUGUAGAAAACAGUUAUUCAUCAGGGAAGAUCUCCCUCAAUACAAUAUCAUCCGUAGCAAUAGACAAUCGACUCAAAUGGUUUGCAACUAAGUUUUUCGCUCCUUUCUUAUCUCGGAUUUCCAAAUCGAACUCAUGUAAAGAAAAAUCCAUUAGAUCAGUCUUGGUUUAGCAUCCUUCUUGAUCAAUAAAUACCAUAAUGCUACAUGAUCAGAAUAUACAAUUAGUUUAACUCUUAACAAAUAAGAUCAAAAUUUUUCUAAAACCAAAAUAAUUGCUAAAAGCUUUUUUUCCUAUGGUAGUGUAAUUGAGUUAAAUUCCAUUCAAGGUCUUAGAUGCAUUGUAGAUUGCAUGUGCAGCCUUUCCAAUUCUCUGACUCAAUACCGCUUCUACUGCAUUGUCACUUGAGUCGCACAUGAUUUCGAACAAAAGAUUCCAGUUCAGAGGUUGUAUAACAGAUUGGAAAGUCAACAGCUCCUUCAAGUGAUCAAACGCAUCCUUGCACUCCUUAUUAAAAUUGAAUGCCACAUCUUUUUGCAUGAGUGUAAACAACGGCGCUCUAAUUUUUGAGAAGUUUUUAAUGAAUUUUCGAUAGAAACCUGCAUGUUCCAAAAAGGAGCGCACUUUUUGCACACUAACGGGGUAUAGUAAGAAAGAUAUAAGGUCUAUUUUUGCCUUAUUUACUUCAAUGCCCUUAGAUGAUACUACAUGGUCUAAAAUUAUUCCGUACUCAACCAUAAAAUGACAUUUUUUUCAAUUAAACACUAGGUUAGUUUCAAUGUAUCUUUGAAGAAUUAAAGUUAAAUUAUCAAGGCACUCAUCAAAACUAUCACCAUAGACACUAAAGUCAUCCAUAAAAAUUUCUAUUAUUUUCUCCACAUAUUCAAAGAAAAUACUUACCAUACACCCCUGAAAAGUUAUAAGAGCAUUGCAUAAUCCAAAGGACAUUCUCCUGUACACGAAGGUACCAAACAAACACGUGAAAGCAGGUACUCAUCAAAACUAUCACCAUAGAUACUAAAGUCAUCCAUAAAAAUUUCUAUUAUUUUCUCCACAUAUUUAAAGAAAAUAUUUACCAUACACCUCUAAAAAGUUAUAAGAGCAUUGCAUAAUCCAAAGGACAUUCUCCUGUACACAAAGGUACCAAACUCAUCAAAACUAUCACCAUAGACACUAAAGUCAUCCAUAAAAAUUUCUAUUAUUUUCUCCACAUAUUCAAAGAAAAUACUUACCAUACACCCCUGAAAAGUUAUAAGAGCAUUGCAUAAUCCAAAGGACAUUCUCCUGUACACGAAGGUACCAAACAAACACGUGAAAGCAGGUACUCAUCAAAACUAUCACCAUAGAUACUAAAGUCAUCCAUAAAAAUUUCUAUUAUUUUCUCCACAUAUUUAAAGAAAAUAUUUACCAUACACCUCUAAAAAGUUAUAAGAGCAUUGCAUAAUCCAAAGGACAUUCUCCUGUAC